AUUGAACGCUGGCGGCAGGCCUAACACAUGCAAGUCGAGCGGAUGAAGCGUGCUUGCUCCUGGAUUCAGCGGCGGACGGGUGAGUAAUGCCUAGGAAUCUGCCUGGUAGUGGGGGAUAACGUCCGGAAACGGGCGCUAAUACCGCAUACGUCCUGUGGGAGAAAGUGGGGGAUCUUCGGACCUCACGCUAUCAUAUGAGCCUAGGUCGGAUUAGCUGGUUGGUGGGGUAAUGGCCUACCAAGGCGACGAUCCGCAACUGGUCUGAGAGGAUGAUCAGUCACACUAGAAGUGAGACGCGGUCGCGACUCCUACGGGGGGCAGCAGUGGGGAAUGUUGGACCAUGAGCGAAGGCCUGAUCCAGCCGUGCCGCGGGUGUGAAGAAGGUCUUCUGCGUGUAGUGCACUUUUAGUUGGGAGGAAGGGCAGUAAGUUAAUUGCUUGCUGUUUUGACGUUACCGGCAGAAUAAGCACCGGCUAACUUCGUG
rnacentral:rRNA from 1 species